ACACGUAGGGGGCGAGCGUUGUUCGGAAUCAUUGGGCGUAAAGGGCGUGCAGGCGGUCCUGCAAGUCCGGCGUGAAAGACCCCGGCCCAACCGGGGGGACGCGCUGGAAACUGCGGGGCUUGAGUACAGGAGGGGAUGCCGGAAUUCCAGGUGUAGGGGUGAAAUCUGUAGAUAUCUGGAAGAACACCAAUGGCGAAGGCAGGCAUCUGGCCAUGUACUGACGCUGAGACGCGAAGGUGCGGGGAGCAAACAGGUUUAGAUACCCUGGUAGUCCGCACAGUAAACGAUGUGCACCAGGCGGCGGGGGGUCGACCCUCGGUACCGUAGCUAACGCAUUAAGUGCACCGCCUGGGGAGUAUGCUCGCAAGGGUGAAACUCAAAGGAAUUGACGGGG
rnacentral:rRNA from 1 species